GAACUAGCUAACUGAAAUCACCAAAAUCACAGAUAGGUGCUUAUUGUGAUAACGUAAGGGAAAAAUAUGAUAUUACCUUACUAUAAGUGUUGUCUAAAUAACUGGUGCCAGAAGACUCGGUAACACCAGAAACGCGAACGUUAGUCGUCUUAAACAGGCGUAAAGGGUAAGUAGGCUGCUUUAAAUUUUUAUUUUUAUAAAAGCUAGUUAAUAAAUUAUGGUUAGUAAUCUCUUCUUGUUCUUAGUCUACCACUAGUUAAACUAAGUUUUACAAGACUUACUACUUCUUAUAUCGAAGGUAUUACUAGUACAACUUUUAACAAGAAUCAAGCUAAUAAAAAUUUUCAAUUUAAUUUAUUAAAUAAAAUAAAGAUAGAUGUACUUAAAGCUAGAUUCAUAAUUGAGAUAAACCAAAUAAUACUUAAGUGUAAGGGUAAAAUCUAAAAAUACUAAGUAGAAUACUAACGGUGAAAACUUUUUAUCUAGGAGUGAAUGACGCUGAGGUACGAAAGUGAGAACAGGGAAUAGGAUUAGAUACCCAGUUACCUCUCACCGUCAACGAUGAAUGGCAGUUGUUAGUAGUUAGUCUCGUUAGUCUAGCUUGUAAUAUUUUUAUAUAAUAAGUUAGACUUACUAAACUUCAAUUAAAACUAGUGACGUUGUUAACGCGAUAACCAUUCCGCCUUGAGAGUACGGUUGCAAAACUGAAACCAAAAAAAUUAGUCGGUCUCGGAGCAACGGAGUGAAGCAUGUUAUUUAUUC
rnacentral:rRNA from 1 species